rnacentral:lncRNA from 1 species
UGACACUUUGAUCAGAGGUUUUAUUGAAUGGUUUCAGGGAAAGAGGCAGGUUUGUCAGAGGGAUGAGGGAACCCUGAGGUUAUUUUCUCUAGGCGAUGCCUCUGCCCACUGGGCCAGAGCGGAUCUGAAAUACCCAAGAGGUGAAGGUGAGGCUGUGUGAGCGGACAGAGUCAGGUGUGCGGUGGCGCUGGUGCUGCGUGGGGGCGGGGAGCCCUCGGUGGGCGCUGUUGACAGCGGGCUCUAGGUUAUGCUGGGCUCUGCACUGGGGGCGCUAGGUGACAGAUGGGAACCAAGCACCAACAGUGGGCCUUCUUGACGGAUGGGGGCGCUCUGGGCAGCAGCUGAGAAGGGGCGGUCCUGCGGAAUGCGUCGAAGAGGGCUCCGCGCUCCAAGAGAGAAGGUCGGUAGGGGGUCUGGGGCCAGGAAAUGAUGGAGGGCACAAAGGCUGGGAACUCCUGCAUUUCUUGCAGAAGAGGAGCUCGCAG